GUGUUGCAGAAUAAUUCAAAUUUAGUAGUAGAAUGGCUAAGGCUUAGUAGGAGAGUAGGCCUAGAAAGCAACACUCCAAAGUAGUAAGUUAGCAACCUUGUUUGUGAGAAUGGAAUGUGCUGAAGAGGUAGGAACAAUAAUCAAAGGAUUUAGUCAAGCAUGUAUAUAAUGAUUUGUUACCUUAGAUGUAGUAAGGGUCUGUUAAACAGUUUCUAGGGGUAAGACAACUUAAGCAGAUUUAUGAUUAAAGUAGAUGAUUACCAAUUGUUAUCAAACUCCUGCACCUGGGUUGCUG